GCAGGAAUUGCCUGAAAAUACACCAAGAUAUAUCACACACUGUGAUGAUACAGAAUUUCUACCUAAGGAUGACUUAAACAGUGCAACAAGCUCAGUUACUGGUAUCAUGACUCCGACAUUUCCCGUGGAAAUACUGAUGUAAACAAAAACUCUGAAAGAGAUAUUUAUAGAAAAGUAAAAGAAUGGAGGAAAGGAAAAAGGAAGAAGAAUCAGUAACCAUGCCGAUUGAUCCAUCCCAGAUCAAGACAGAACAUCCUGACAUCUUCGACAUUGGUCCAAACUAUUAAUAGGAACUCUGAGAUUUGUCCAAGGAAGUUCAAUAGGUCAUACAGAGACAUUGAAACAGAAAUGAUUAUGACAGAAAUUACUGGAUCCCAGACUGGUUCCCCAGUUCAAAAAGAAACAGUUGUCAACAUUAAAAAGGAGCCUAAUAGUUCACCUAUCAAAAGUUUGAUGCAAAUGGCAAUGCAAAAAGGUUUAGAAGAUAGUGACCAGUGGGGCAAUUUCAGUGAAUUUGAUAUUGAUAGUGUUGUUAAUGUUGUCAAUAGAAGAGACGAGGGGAGACAACUGGCAGAUUGUCAUGUAGAUAUUGUGAAAGUAGAAGACCAGGGGAGGCAACUGGCUGAUUGUCAUGUAAAUAUUGAGAAAAUAGAAGACCAAGGAAGGCAACUUGAAGAUGGCAUUGUAAAUUUUGUGAAUAGAGAAAACCAUGGGAGAGAACUAGAAGAUAGUAAUAUCACUAUUGUGAAAGAAGAAAUACAGGGGAGGCAACUAGAGAAAGAGGAAUAUUUACAGAUGGAUGAUAUUGAAGCUCUUGUUCAUUAUACAAAUAGAAAAUCGCAUUCAUUCAGUCCUUCGAAGAACAAUACUUCUCAACAGCCAUCAUUGUCAGCUAAACCUUAAACAAUUGUUGGCCUGCCAUUGACAGAUGACAACAAAGGAAGUAAAUCUCCAAAUAAAAAGGGAGAUAACUCUUUAUCAUUAUCACCACAAAUGAAAAAGAACUAUAAAUUAAAAGACUGUUCUGUGGUUUUGGACACUGAUAAAGACAUUCAGUCUAAACUGCUGAAUUUACAGAAAAAUGCAGAGUCUGGAAAGGAAGACAUGAACAGUAGUGUACAUGAUUUAAAGAGAAGUGGAGACAUUUCUGAUUUUAAAAAUGUUGCAAAGAAACCCAAAAUUGGUCCAAAAUGCAUGAAAAAACAAGACAAAGAUGAAGUAAGAGAUCACAAAAAGUCUUAAUUUGUUAUUGACCACAAAGCCAAAGUUUUGAAACUGAAUUUAUCAAGGUUGGAUAAAAAUCUGGAAGCAAAUGAGACUGAUAAAGAGAUUGACAAAGAAGUGACAAAAAAGUUAGAAAUUGAAAAUGAAAGGAGAAAGGAAAAAUCUGAAAGUAAAAGUAAACCGACAAAAAUUUCAGUAGAGAAUAAAGAAAAAGAAAGAUCAGAUAAUGAGAGUCGACAUAUAACAUCUUCUACAGAUGGAAAUAGAAAACAGGACAGAAAACAUGAAAAUGACAGUCGGGAAUAUUCAGACAAACAUAAACAUUCAGAAAAACCUAAACAUCUGCAUUCAGAAAACCAUACGCAUGGAAUUUCAGAAAAACCUAAACAUGGACAAUCAGAGAAGCAUAAACCUGGGAAUUCAGAAAAGCAUACACAUGGAUAUUCAGAAAAAUCUUAACAUGGACAAUCAGAUAAGCAUAAACAUGGAAAUUCAGAAAAGCAUAAAGAAGUCAAAGGAGAAAAUUCUGAAAAGUACAAGAAUUUUCCUGAUAAAAGUGGUUCCAAAAAAGGAGAUGAUGACAAGCAAAUAAAAUCAUCAAAAAACCUAAAGAGGAAAGCAAAUGAAGAGGAAAACAUUGCCAGUAAAAAGUCAAAGCACGAUGACAAAACUGAAAACUGUGACGAAAAGAAAGAUUCCAUAAAAAGACCUGAGACUAAAAUGAUAUCUGUUGAGGUCAAGAAGAAAGAAAAUAAAAAGGAAGAAAAACUGCAUGAACCAUCGAAGAAAUUGGAGGAAAGCUUAAGUAAUGCUCCUAAUACUAUAGAAUAGACAAUGAAAUGUAAACUUUGUAAAGAAAUCCAUAGCUCUAAAUCAGCAUUAGAAAAGCACAUGAUCAGUGUACAUAAUACCAAAUUGGGCCGUAAAAGAUUUGGAUGUAAACUUUGUACUAAAUCUUUUGAUACAACGUCUAUUUUGAUCAAACAUAUCGAAUCGCACAAAGAGGAAAGAAAAAAAAGUGGUGAAGAAAAAGGAAACACAGAAACAGUCCAAACAAAUAAAAGAGAAGGAAAAGGAAAGACAGAAACAUUAGAAACAAAAACAAGAGAACAAAAAGGAAAGACAGAAACAAUAGAAACAAAAAUAAGAGAACAAAAAGGAAAGACAGAAACAAAAGAAACAAAAACAAGAGAAGAAAAAGGAAUGACAGAAACAGUGAAAACAAAAACAAGAGAACAAAAGGGAGAGACAGAAACAAAAAUAAGAGAACAAAAAGGAAAGACAGAAACAAAAAUAAGAGAACAUAAAGGAAAGAUAGAAACAGUAGAAUCUAAAAUAAGGAGAGAAAAAUUGGCAAUAAGUCAUGUAAGUGACAAAAAGGAAGGAACAACCAAAAUCACAGAUGACAUCAAAAAUUUCUAUCUGAAGAUGACUUGAACAGUGAAACAAGCUCAGUUACUGGUAUCAUGACUCCGACAUUUCCCGUGGAAAAUACCGAUGUAAACAAAAACUCUGAAAGAGAUAUUUAUAGAAAAAGUAAAAGAAUGGAGGAAAGGAAAAAGAGGGAAGAAUCAGUAGUCGUGCCGAUUGAUCCAUCCCAGAUCAAGACAGAACAUCCUGACAUCUUCAACAUUGACUCCUUGGUCAUUACUAUUAAUAGGAACUAUGAGAUUUGUCCAAGGAAGUUCAAUAGGUCGUACAGAGACAUUGAAACAGAAAUGAUUAUGACAGAAAUUACUGGAUCCCAGACUGGUUCCCCAGUUCAAAAAGAAACAGUUGUCAACAUUAAAAAGGAGCCUAAUAGUUCACCUAUCAAAGGUUUGAUGCAAAUGGCAAUGCAAAAAGGUUUAGAAGAUAGUGACCAGUGGGGCAAUUUCAGUGAAUUUGAUAUUGAUAGUGUUGUUAAUGUUGUCAAUAGAAGAGACGAGGGGAGACAACUGGCAGAUUGUCAUGUAGAUAUUGUGAAAGUAGAAGACCAGGGGAGGCAACUGGCUGAUUGUCAUGUAAAUAUUGUGAAAAUAGAAGACCAAGGAAGGCAACUUGAAGAUGGCAUUGUAAAUUUUGUGAAUAGAGAAAACCAUGGGAGAGAACUAGAAGAUAGUAAUAUCACUAUUGUGAAAGAAGAAAUACAGGGGAGGCAACUAGAGGAAGAGGCAUAUUUACAGAUGGAUGAUAUUGAAGCUCUUGUUCAUUAUACAAAUAGAAAAUCGCAUUCAUUCAGUCCUUCGAAGAACAAUGCUUCUCAACAGCCAUCAUUGUCAGCUAAACCUAAAACAAUUGUUGGCCUGCGAUUGACAGAUGACAACAAAGGAAGUAAAUCUCCAAAUAAAAAGGGAGAUAACUCUUUAUCAAUAUCACCAAAAAUGAAAAAGAACUAUAAAUUAAAAGACUGUUCUGUGGUUUUGGACACUGAUAAAGACAUUCAGUCUAAACUGCUGAAUUUACAGAAAAAUGCAGAGUCUGGAAAGGAAGACAUGAACAGUAGUGUACUUGAUUUAAAGAGAAGUGGAGACAUUUCUGAUUUUAAAAAUGUUGCAAAGAAACCCAAAAUUGGUCCAAAAUGCAUGAAAAGACAAGACAAAGAUGAAGUAAAAGAUCACAAAAAGUCUAAAUUUGUUAUUGACCACAAAGCCAAAGUUUUGAAACUGAAUUUAUCAAGGUUGGAUAAAAAUCUGGAAGCAAAUGAGACUGAUAAAGAGAUUGACAAAGAAGUGACAAAAAAGUUAGAAAUUGAAAAUGAAAGGAGAAAGGAGAAAUCUCGUCCUAAACAUAAAGGAAAAAUCUGAAAGUGAAAGUAAACCGACAAAAAUUUCAGUAGAGAAUAAAGAAAAAGAAAGAUCAGAUAAUGAGAGUCGACAUAUAACAUCUUCUACAGAUGGAAAUAGAAAACAGUACAGAAAACAUGAAAAUGACUGUCGGGAAUAUUCAGACAAACAUAAACAUUCAGAAAAACCUAAACAUCCGCAUUCAGAAAAGCAUACACAUGGAAUUUCAGAAAAACCUAAACAUGGACAAUCAGAGAAGCAUAAACCUGGGAAUUCAGAAAAGCAUAAACAUGGAUAUUUAGAAAAAUCUGAACAUGGAUAUUCAUAAAAAUCUAAACAUGGACUAUCAGAUAAGCAUAAAGAAGUCAAAGGAGAAAAUUCUGAAAAGUACAAGAAUUUUCCUGAUAAAAGUGGUUCCAAAAAAGGAGAUGAUGACAAGCAAAUAAAAUCAUCAAAAAAUCUAAAGAGGAAAACAUUGCCAGUAAAAAGUCAAAGCACGAUGACAAAACUGAAAACUGUGACGAAAAGAAAGAUCCCAUAAAAAGACCUGAGACUGAAAUGAUAUCUGUUGUGGUAAAGAAGAAAGAAAAUAGAAAGGAAAAAAACUGCAUGAACCAUCCAAGAAUUUGGAGAUUUUUAGCAGUUGUUUGGUAACUAAAACAUCACCAGAUUCAGAUGACGAACUGGAAGAUUUAGGUCUGCAGCAAUUGCCUGAAAAUACACCAAGAUAUAUCACACACUGUGAUGAUACAGAAUUUCUAUCUGAGGAUGACUUAAACAGUGAAACAA